UUUCCGUAGGUGAACCUGCGGAAGGAUCAUUACAAAUCCAUCCACGUCUCUCUCACCCGAGACCACGUCUAACUGUUCGCCCCCCACCCGAGAGGGACGGGGAGGCGCAUCCUAUAUACCAUGAGCCAUUGUGCGUUGCUUCAUAUGUGUAUAUAUUACAACACACACUGCUCGAAACAACUUAUAACAAUGGAUCUCUAGGCUCUU
rnacentral:misc_RNA from 1 species